rnacentral:lncRNA from 1 species
AUGAAAUGUAAGAAUCCAUUCUGUAAAACCCAAAACAGAACCCUCACAGCAAUGGGCAGUGCAGGAGCUGCAACUGAUCCCAUCCGACCUGUAAUCCCUUUUUCCUUUUUCGUAUGCUUUGCAAGUUCUGCAUGGUGGGGAAGCCUUCCCUUCCCUUCCCUUCUCCCUUCCCUUCCCUUCUCCCUUCCCUUCCCUUCUCCCUUCCCUUCCCUUCUCCCUUCCCUUCCCUUUUCCCUUCCCUUCCUUUUUCCUUCCCUUUCCCUUCUCUCCUCUCCUCUCCUCUCCUCUCCUCUCCUCUCCUCUCCUCUCCUCUCCUCUCCUCUCCCUGACAGUUGGAGCUGUUGCUCUGAAGCCGUAAUUCACCAAGUUCACAGGAAACGCUGUGGUGCGGUUGCGGGAACGGAGCGAUGGCACAACGGGCGCCUGGGGCGGAGGCGGCAGCGCUUACACUGCGGACUCCCCGAACGUGCGAGGGCCGUGGCGGGAGGAAGGCUGAGUCACCGCAGGGGCAAAAAACGAGACAGCAGCGAAUCGCAGCUCGCUCCUCGCUGCGAGAGGCUCCCCGCGGCCGCCUCGCGGGCACUGACGUCCGACAGGGCGGCCGCCCCCCCCCCACCGCGUUCUCCGGACAGAUCUCACGACCCGGAGCCGCGCGGCCAACUACACGCCGCUUCCCCCCCGGCUCGAGGCCCCGCACCGCCGGCCCGCAUCCGCCGCUCCCGGCGCCGCCCCGCCCUCCCGCCACCCGCGCCCCCUCCCCGCCCCGCAGCACGUGACCCCGCGGGAGGGGGCGCGCGCUGCACCUGUCAGUCAGCGCGUCACUUCCGGCAGCCGCCGCCGCUACCGUUGGGGACCCCCGCUGGCGGAGGCGCGUUCGUGCGACGGAGCGGCUGUGGGGACGGACGGCGCUCGGGGCGGCAGCGUGGCGGCCGCGGCGCACGGCGGCGGCGGGAGACCGAGAGAGGAGGAAGGAGAGGCGGACGAGGCCCGCGAGGAGAGCGGAGCGGCGAGGAGAGGCCCGCGCCGGCCCCCGGGGUAGGAAGAGGCGGAGGAACCUGCCGCUGCCGAGGCCGGCGGGGAGGGCGAGUCACCCGGCAACGGUGA